rnacentral:rRNA from 1 species
GUGCCUAACACAUGCAAGUCGAACGGAGAUGCGAUGUGAGCGAGAAGUGCUUGCACUGAUUAAUCUUUUCGUAUCUUAGUGGCGGACGGGUGAGUAACGCGUGGGUAACCUGCCUUAUACCGGGGGAUAACACUUAGAAAUAGGUGCUAAUACCGCAUAAGCGCACGGUGUCGCAUGACACAGUGUGAAAAACUCCGGUGGUAUAAGAUGGACCCGCGUCUGAUUAGCCAGUUGGCAGGGUAACGGCCUACCAAAGCGACGAUCAGUAGCCGGCCUGAGAGGGUGAACGGCCACAUUGGGACUGAGACACGGCCCAAACUCCUACGGGAGGCAGCAGUGGGGAAUAUUGCACAAUGGGGGAAACCCUGAUGCAGCGACGCCGCGUGAGUGAAGAAGUAUUUCGGUAUGUAAAGCUCUAUCAGCAGGGAAGAAGAAAUGACGGUACCUGACUAAGAAGCCCCGGCUAACUACGUGCCAGCAGCCGCGGUAAUACGUAGGGGGCAAGCGUUAUCCGGAUUUACUGGGUGUAAAGGGAGCGUAGACGGUGAAGCAAGUCUGAAGUGAAAGGUUGGGGCUCAACCCCGAAACUGCUUUGGAAACUGUUUAACUGGAGUACAGGAGAGGUAAGUGGAAUUCCUAGUGUAGCGGUGAAAUGCGUAGAUAUUAGGAGGAACACCAGUGGCGAAGGCGGCUUACUGGACUGUAACUGACGUUGAGGCUCGAAAGCGUGGGGAGCAAACAGG